rnacentral:rRNA from 1 species
ACGGGUGAGUAACGCGUGGGUAACCUGCCUCAGUACAGGGGGAUAACAGUUAGAAAUGACUGCUAACACCGCAUAAUAUAGCGAACCGCAUUGAUUUUUGCUAUCAAAUAUUUAUAGGUAUGAGAUGGGCCCGCGUCUGAUUAGCUAGUUGUGGGGUAAAAGCCUACCAAGGCGACGAUCAGUAGCCGGCUUGAGAGAGUGACCGGCCACAUUGGGACUGAGACACGGCCCAAACUCCUACGGGAGGCAGCAGUGGGGAAUAUUGGACAAUGGGGGAAACCCUGAUCCAGCGAACCGCCGCGUGAGUGAAGAAGUAUUUCGGUAUGUAAAGCUCUAUCAGCAGGGAAGAUAAUGACAGUACCUGACUAAGAAGCCCCGGCUAACUACGUGCCAGCCGCUGC